UAUGUGUAAUAAAUUAAUAAUAAUACAAAGUUAACAAAAUAAGCGGUUGUAGCUAAUGUUAUAAAUAUGAAAUAAAAAUACUUAUAUAGUUUAUACAUUUUUACACUUCUUUCAUUAUCUUUCUGUUUAAAUUAUUACUUGUUCGCCGAAUAUGUAUAAUUACCUAUUUUCUAUUGAUCAAUGAAUGAUGUUAUUUUUAAAACAUUCUUUCACUAUAUCGAAGAUCGAUUUUAGUCAGUGGUAUCUAAGUAUAUAGCUUAGGAUGUAUAGCUCAGGACAUAAAAAGAAUAUAGUGGCCAGAUCGCGUGUAAGAAAUCAUAAAACAUAGAAAUAUGCGAAAUUGAUCAAGUCCAUUAUUUAUUAGUUUAUUAGACUUGUACUACUUCUCACUCCUACUAAAGUUUUAUAAGUAUUUACACACGGAAAAUUAAAUGGAACACUAACAUUGAGUACACAUACCUCAGUUAUACUGAUAUUAAUAACUUCGAUAGUAAUGAUGCGAUCCAAUAUACUUCAAUCUACAUUUUUAACUUUAAUUUUUAUUACACUAAAACAAAGAAAUACCUGCACCAUCAGAAAUACCCGAGUAUAAAUAAAAAACAUACGAUAGCGAAGAGGUAAAAUAUUUAUCGGAAUAAAAAUGUAUAAUGCGCAGAAUUUCAAAAACUUCGCAAAAUAUUCAACUUAAUAUUUAUUUAAUAAUUGAGAAGAAAGAGCCGCUAUAUAAAGGUAAGUAAAAUGCGCGGAAUUGAAGAUACAAAAGUUAUCUGAACUUUAACUUUCAUUUUUAGACAAAACCUAUAUUGUUAUAAGAUGAAGUUUUUUUGUCAUUAUUUUAUUUACUUGCGACGAUGACGUUAAUCUUGGUACCCCUCAGAACCUGUCAAGAAAAUGAGGAUAAAUAUCUUAUGCUUAUGCCGUCGAAGAAGCUUAAGGUUAUAGACGAGCCCAGAAGAACAACUGCAAAACCAUGUCAGGAAGGCGAGAGACAAGAUUCUAGAGGAAGAUGUCGCAAACCUUUAUAAUGAGACAGAGACUAACAUUUCAGCAAUAUCAGCUGAAAGCUAGAAGCGAGGUGGAAUUCCAAAAUAUCGUAGUAACGAUAGAACGACGAAAAUACUCUAUGUGUCAACAAAAUUUCAAUAAAUUCACAUUAUACAAUUAAUGUUAUUUGUAUUGUAUAUGCAUUCACGGCCACGAAUUAUAUAUAAAUGCAAUUAAUUA